CAGCCGCCGCGGUAAUGCGUAGGGGGCGAGCGUUGUCCGAAGUUACUGGGCGUAAAGAGCGCGUAGGCGGGUCUUUAAGUGAGGGGUGAAAGGUUCAGGGCUCAACCCGGACACUGCCUUUCAUACUGGAGACCUUAAGUGUGGGAGAGGCGAGUGGAAUGGUCGGUGUAGCGGUGAAAUGCGUAGAUAUCGAUCGGAACACCCAUGGCGAAGGCAGCUCGCUGGCCUAUAACUGACGCUGAGGCGCGAAAGCGUGGGUGCAAACAGGAUUAGAUACCCCAGUAGUCCCUGUCUCUUAUAC
rnacentral:rRNA from 1 species